GCUGAAGAACAUCUUUACCUCUCUCCUGUGUUGGAUCUCCUGGGUCCUGUAUUCAGGGAUUUCUUCAUUGGUAAAGCGCACCCUGCAGGGACUCCCUAAUAGAGUACGAAAUGUCAGCUGCUGUUUUGCUUGUGAAACCAGAGGUUCCUGUCACACGAGUCACAUCAUGGGCCUCCAGAGUCAGCAUCUUCCAUGUGACUCCAGAUCCUGCACUAACUUGACCUACUGGGGAUCCGAAUAUCUACAAAGAAAGAGUUUAGAAGAUGGAUCUGUCCUAUUCUAUUUUUACGGAGUGGUAGCUGUCACGUGGGGGUUUAUCUUCCAGUGGUGAGGGGACCACACCAAUAAUUCUCAGGCCGCUCCCAACCACACCCACACCCUGUGGAUGCCUCCGCACAAGGACUGCC